AGCUCUAUUCAGGAGAAGAGAAUCUUUCCCUGCCUGCUCCAGAGGUUUCUUGUGAAGUCAAGGUGGUGACAGAAUGCCUUGUCUGGGCAAUACACUCAGUCUGCCAGGUAUAGUAUAGACCUCUGACAUCUGGCAGCACGUGUGAUCUCACAGGACACUCUCUCUGUAGCAAAGUUCCAUUUUGUGUCGCCUCCUCAGCCCGGCCUUUGAGUGAGGAUGAUGUGGAACA